rnacentral:rRNA from 1 species
AUUGAACGCUGGCGGAAUGCUUUACACAUGCAAGUCGAACGGUAGAGGGGGCAACCCCUUGAGAGUGGCGAACGGGUGAGUAAUAUAUCGGAACGUGCCCAGUCGUGGGGAUAACGUAGCGAAAGUUACGCUAAUACCGCAUACGAUCUACGGAUGAAAGCGGGGGACUCGCAAGAGCCUCGCGCGAUUGGAGCGGCCGAUAUCAGAUUAGGUAGUUGGUGGGGUAAAGGCUCACCAAGCCAACGAUCUGUAGCUGGUCUGAGAGGACGACCAGCCACACUGGAACUGAGACACGGUCCAGACUCCUACGGGAGGCAGCAGUAAGGAAUAUUGGUCAAUGGACGAAAGUCUGAACCAGCCAUGCCGCGUGAAGGAUUAAAGGUCCUCUGGAUUGUAAACUUCUUUAUAUGGGACGAAAAAAGGCCUUUCUAGAUCACUUGACGGUACCAUAUGAAUAAGCACCGGCUAACUCCGUGCCAGCAGCCGCGGUAAAGUCAGUG